GAUGAACGCUGACAGCAUGCUUAACACAUGCAAGUCAACUGUGGCGGACGGGUGAGUAACGCGUAAAGAAAUUGCCUAACAGAUAGGAACAACAUGUGGAAACGAAUGCUAAUACCGGAUACUGUGGGAGAGCUUUGCGUCCCAUUAGCUGGUUGGGGAGGUAACGGCUCACCAAGGAGAUGAUGGGUAGCCGGCCUGAGAGGGUGAUCGGCCACAAGGGGACUGGGUCACGGCCCUUACUCCUACGGGAGGCAGCGGGGGGGACGAUUGGACAAUGGACCAAAGUCUGAUCAAGCAAUUAUGUGUGCACGAUGAAGUUUUCGGAAUGUAAAGUGCUUUCAGUUGGGACGCGGUACCAACAGAAGAAGUGACGGCUAAAUACGUGCCAGCAGCCGCGGUAAUAC
rnacentral:rRNA from 1 species